UAGUAAAUCUCCCCUCCACCUUGGUGGUUUAAAAGGAAGAGAUAAAUUAUUACUGGUUCUGGUGAUUCUUGAUUUAUUAAGAAUUACUCUCGACCUAAAUAUAAGGCUCGACUUUUUUAUUAGAUCUCGCAUCUGGUAAAACCUAGUCGGCUUUAAUAGGAUUUAUUUCUUAUUAGGUUUAUAGCCAUCAUUUUACUUUUAAA
rnacentral:misc_RNA from 2 species